UGUAAAGCAAUAACUGUGGUGCAGCGU
rnacentral:sRNA from 1 species